UGUUGAUUUCAGAGGGCUCUCUGCCGAGUGAUUGAUUGACUGGUAAAGAACUGAGGCUUCCAGCAAACUCUGAGCUGUGAAAAGGAGACAUCACCAAUUUUUAACCCUUGUCUGUUCGGCUCCAGCUAUGAGGCCCUGCAUUCAGGCUCCAUCUCCCAGCCGUGCCCAGCGGUCACUUUAGGAUGGCAGCAUCACGCUGGGUUGUUAAUGAUCAACUGCAGCAAGCACAGCAAAUCAUCAGUGAUGCAAACAGAAUCACAGUCCUAGGUCCUCCAGGCUAUUUAGAGAGACUCGAGGCUUCAGAGAGAAGUGGAAGAGGACAUGCUGAAUGAAAGGGUAGAGGAAAUGUGGCCUAGUGGCUAGGCCCUGGCCUGAAAUGCAAGAAACCUGGCUCCAGUUCCCAACUCAGCCAUCCACUUCCUCUGUGACCUUGGGCAAAUAAAU